AUUGCCGACCAUCCUCAUCCACUGAGCCUCCUCCCUGCAGCUGGCUGAUGUAGCUCACUGGUGUCUGUGUAGAUAGGGAGCUGUGAUAAGAACAAGAGGUCAGAACACAUCCAAGCUCCUUAAGAGAAAGCCUUUCUUUAACCGUUUUUGAAACGCUUCAAAGGCAGAGACUUGUCCAGCCUAAACUGCCUGCUGCUCCUAGCUCCUGAGUCUCAGGGCCCUUGGCUUCUGUCUGCUCUGCUCAGGGCCCUCCAGCGUGGCCACUGCUCAGCCAUGCUCCUGUUGCUCGUCCCAGUGCUCGAGGUGAUUUUUACCCUGGGAGGAACCAGAGCCCAGUCGGUGACCCAGCUUGACAGCCACGUCUCUGUCUCUGAAGGAGCCCUGGUUCUGCUGAGGUGCAACUACUCAUCGUCUGUUCCACCAUAUCUCUUCUGGUAUGUGCAAUACCCCAACCAAGGACUCCAGCUUCUCCUGAAGUACACAUCAGGGGCCACCCUGGUUAAGGGCAUCAACGGUUUUGAGGCUGAAUUUAAGAAGAGUGAAACCUCCUUCCACCUGACGAAACCCUCAGCCCAUGUGAGCGACGCGGCUGAGUACUUCUGUGCUGUGAGUGACACAGUGCUUGAGACUGCAGGAGAGCUGAACACAAACCUCCUGAGAUGCUGAGACUUUCUGUGACUCAAGAACUCAACCUUGAAGUCUGUUUUAUAAUAUUAAAUAGCAGUUCCAAGUUUCUGAUGCUUAUUGAUGUAUGCUGUAUCUUUUUCAUCUAUUUAUUUUUAAACUAUCUGUGACUUUAAAGUGUGUUUCCUGUAGGUAGCAUAAAAGAGCAUCUUUUCUUUUUAUCUACUUUGUUAAUCUCUGUUUUUGCAUUGUGAAGUUUAGAUAAUUAAAAUGGAAUAUAAAUAUC